rnacentral:rRNA from 1 species
CAACAGGGAUUGCUCUAGUAACGGCGAGUGAAGCAGCAAUAGCUCAAAUUUGAAAUCUGGCGUCUUCGGCGUCCGAGUUGUAAUUUGUAGAGGAUGCUUCUGAGUAACCACCGACCUAAGUUCCUUGGAACAGGACGUCAUAGAGGGUGAGAAUCCCGUAUGCGGUCGGAAAGGUGCUCUAUACGUAGCUCCUUCGACGAGUCGAGUUGUUUGGGAAUGCAGCUCUAAAUGGGAGGUAAAUUUCUUCUAAAGCUAAAUAUUGGCCAGAGACCGAUAGCGCACAAGUAGAGUGAUCGAAAGAUGAAAAGCACUUUGGAAAGAGAGUUAAAAAGCACGUGAAAUUGUUAAAAGGGAAGGGAUUGCAACCAGACUUGCUCGCGGUGUUCCGCCGGUCUUCUGACCGGUCUACUCGCCGCGUUGCAGGCCAGCAUCGUCUGGUGCCGCUGGAUAAGACUUGAGGAAUGUAGCUCCCUCGGGAGUGUUAUAGCCUCUUGUGAUGCAGCGAGCGCCGGGCGAGGUCCGCGCUUCGGCUAGGAUGCUGGCGUAAUGGUCGUAAUCCGCCCGUCUUGAAACACGGACCAAGGAGUCUAACAUCUAUGCGAGUGUUCGGGUGUCAAACCCCUACGCGUAAUGAAAGUGAACGGAGGUGAGAACCGCAAGGUGCAUCAUCGACCGAUCCUGAUGUCUUCGGAUGGAUUUGAGUAAGAGCAUAGCUGUUGGGACCCGAAAGAUGGUGAACUAUGCCUGAAUAGGGUGAAGCCAGAGGAAACUCUGGUGGAGGCUCGCAGCGGUUCUGACGUGCAAAUCGAUCGUCAAAUUUGGGUAUAGGG